rnacentral:rRNA from 1 species
UACAGAGGGUGCAAGCGUUAAUCGGAAUUACUGGGCGUAAAGCGCGCGUAGGCGGUUCGUUAAGUUGGAUGUGAAAUCCCCGGGCUCAACCUGGGAACUGCAUCCAAAACUGGCGAGCUAGAGUAGGGCAGAGGGUGGUGGAAUUUCCUGUGUAGCGGUGAAAUGCGUAGAUAUAGGAAGGAACACCAGUGGCGAAGGCGACCACCUGGGCUCAUACUGACGCUGAGGUGCGAAAGCGUGGGGAGCAAACAGG